rnacentral:lncRNA from 1 species
CAAAGUGCCAAAAAUGAUGCAAUAUCAACGAUAUAAAUAGAAGUUAUGAAACUUACAAAGUCAAUGCAAAACAUGAAAAUUUCAAAAUGAUUUUUUGGGUGGUUUUUUUUCAAUGGAAUGUUUUUGGUAUUUGGUCAAACAUAUAACUAUGUUAACCUCUUCAAUUUCUUAAACAUUUUAAGUGGUAAGAUGUUGUUGAUUCAGAAAUACAUGCCGCCGCUCGCAAAAUUUCAAACUGCAUUAUCUCUAAAACGACAAUAGAUAUCUCAAAUCUGUUAAAUGGUAAAUGAUCUACAGUUAAAGGACAACAUUAUAGAAAAAGAAUUGGGACAAUUUCAAAGUUCACCAAGGUCACAAUUAAUCAUCAAAUAUAUGAUGCAAUACCAAACUUGAGAACCGGAAGUCGUAGAGACAUGGGACUAUCACCAUUCAACUCAGGACCACUUGACCUUUCAAAUAUCACAAGGUCAAGGUCAUAGUAUAAUGUGAAGUUCAAGGUGAAAUUUCAUCAUGACCUGACAUUGACCUCAAAUUGAAGGUUUUGAAUUACUGAUCAUCUUUGCAGUUUAUAGUAGGUUGAUAUCUGUUACCUUUAAAAAGAUAUACACAAAAUACUAUACUUUUAAGAAUCAUCCCGUUGUAACUUUUGAACAGACGGUCGGACAUUUUUGGGCUUAUUAUAUAAAAUGUAGAGCUCGUGGAGAGGAACAAUUUAUACGCUGUAUGUAUGCAGCAAAGUCUUAUCGUUUUCCUAAUAUGUAAUCUUGAAAUUGCAGCGUAAUUUUAUUUUGCACUCUGUGACCUUUGACCUUGGGUGCAUAUUAAAGGUCACAUGAAUUAAAGAUUUUUGGUGAAGGUCCCAAGUCUCUACGACUUCCGGUUCUGGAAAUACAAUUUUUCUAAAAUUGUACACAAUUUUUCAAGGGGAAUAACUCCUUAUAAGGGUUAAUAACAAAAUGAUUGUAUAUGUUCAUAACAUUGCCAUCUGUUCCUGUACAUGUUGCCGUUUUCAAAUCAAUUCUAUCUCUUAUACUUUUUGAGAAAAAAUGCAAAGGAAAAGAAAUUGUUUGAAGGGAUAUAACUCUCAUAGGGGACAAUGAAAUCCUAUCAACCUCAUAUGGUAAUAAUCAUGAUGAGAUCUACCUAUUGUCCAAAUAAUGUCAUGAUAUCUUUAAAAACAACGAGGGGGUGCCGUGUUGAAAAAAAUCAAUAAAAGGGAGAUAACUUCUAAAGUGGAUGAUGAAAUCCUUAACAGGGUCAUUUGGUAAAACUGCAUGAUGAGGUCUAUCAAUGGUCCAUAUUUGAUCUUGGUAACUUUAACAGAAAGAAGGGGCGGGCAUGUCAAAAAAAUGUUGGAAGAAAAAAAAGAAAAACAGUAUCUCAAUUGUUUGUAAAACAUUGAAAGGUCUUUCCUGUAAAAUUGAUGUUUCGUAUUGUACUUUGUACCUUUCGUUUGAUAUACGACAAGCACACCUUCUGAAACUUUUCGCUUUUUACACUUAAUGACCUCAUCCGUCUAAUUUUUGAGAUCGGAAUUUGAUAUAUGGAACAGAGUAGAUGAGCUUUCGUUUGAUAUGCGACAACACCAUGUUCUUGAAAGUUUGAUUUUUUGCAACUUAAUAACCUAUCCAACAAAUUUUGGAGGUCGGGAAUUUGAUAAUUCAAAUGUACACAUCAUGACCUUUCAUUGUAUAUACAACAACCCUACCUUAAAAGAACAUUUAUUUUUUGCACCAAUGACCCCAUCCAACCCCAUUUUUGGACGACGUCAAUUUGAAAUUUGAAAUGUAUGCUUAUGUUCUUUCAUUGAUAUGCGACAACCUUACCAUCUGAGAAAUUUGAAUGUUUGCACUAAAUGACCCCACCGUCCCCCUGGAUGAAAAGGGGUUUUUAAAAUUUUCAUUUUUAAGUAGAGUUUAUUAGACCUUCAAUUUGAAUAUCAGAUGACCCAUUUGACAAAGUGCAAUAAUGAUGCAAUAUAAUUAUAUAAAUAGAAGUUAUGAAACUUACAAAGUCAAUGCAAAACUUGAAAAUUUCAAAUGAUUUUUUGGUGUUUUUUUCCAUGGAAUGUUUUGGUAUUUGUCAAAAUAUACUAUGUCAACCUCUUCAAUUUCUAAAACAUUUUAAGUGGUAAGCUCUUGAUGAUUCAGAAAAUACAUGCCUCCGCUCGAAAAACUUCAAACUGCAUUAUCCUCUAAAACGACAAUAGAUAUCCAAUCUGUUAAAUGAUAAAUGAUCUACAGUUAAAGGACAACAUUAUAGAAAAAGAAUUGGGACAAUUUCAAAAGUUCACCAAGGUCACAAUUAAUCAUCAAAUAUAUGAUGCAAUACAAAACUUGGGAACCGAAGUCGUAGAGACAUGGGACUAUCACCAUUCAACUCAGGACCACUUGACCUUUCAAAUAUUACAAGGUCAAGGUCAUAGUAAAAUGUGAAGGUCAAGGUGAAAUUUCAUCAUGACCUGACAUUGACCUCAAAUUGAAGGUCUUGAACUACUGAUCAUCUUUCAGUUUAGUAGGUUGAUAUCUGUUACCUUUAAAAAGAUAUACACACAAUACUAUAUUUUAAGAAUCAUCCCGUCGUAACUUUUGAACAGACAGUCGGACUCUUUGUGAGUCAGUGUAUAAAAUGUAGAGCUUGUCGAGAGGAACAUUUUAUACCCUGUAAGUAUGCAGCGAACUCUUAUCGUUUUCUUAAUAUGAAGCUUGAAAUUGCAGCGUAAUUUUUUUUGCACUCGGUGACCUUUGACUUGUGCAAAUAAAGGUCACAUGAACUUAAGAUUAUUGGGUAGGUCCCAAGUCUUACGACUUCCGGUUCUCGAAUACAAUUUUUCAAAAAUUGGGUAUUUUUUCAAGGGAAAUACUCCUUAUAAGGGUUAACAACAAAAUGAUGUAUAUGUAAUUAACAUUGCCAUCUGGUCUGUACAUGUUGCCGUUUUCAAAUCGAUUCUAUCUUGAAUACUUUUUUGAAGAAAAAUGUAAAAGAAAAGAAAUUGCUUCAAGGGACAUAACUCUCAUAGGGAAUGAUGAAAUCCUUAGCAGCCUCAUAUGGUAACACAUCUGAUGAGAUCUAACUAUUGUCCAAAUAAGGUCAUGAUAUCUUUAAAAACAACGAGGGGGGGCCAUGUCGAAAAAAACCAUUAAAAGGGAGAUAACUCUAAAGGGGAUGAUGAAAUCCUACACAGCCUCAUUGUAAUACUUCAUGAUGAGGUCUACCGAUGGUCCAUAUUUGGUCUUGAUAACUCCAAUAGAAACAAGGGGAGGCCAUGUUAAAACAAAUGCUGGAUGAAAAAAAAAAAAAAAAAAAAAAAAAAAAACAGGAGAAACUAGUAUCUCAAUUGUUUGUAAACAAUUGAAGGUCUUUCCUGUAAAAGUGAUGUUUUCGUAAUGUUCUUUGUACGACUUUCGUUUGAUAUAUGACAAGCAUACUUCUGAAACUUUCGCUUUUUACACUAAUGACCUCAUCCGCCUACAUUUUUGAGAUCGGAAUAUAUAUAUGUAAACAGGUAGAUGAGCUUUCAUUUGAUAUGCGACAACGCCAUGUUCUAAGAAAAGUUUGAUUUUGCACUUAAUAACCCUAUCCAACUAAUUUUUGGAGGUCGGGCUUUGAUAUUCAAAUGUACACAUCAUGACCUUUCAUUUAUAUACAACAACCCUACCUUAAAAGAACAUUUAUUUUUUCACUCAUGACCCCAUCCAACCCAUUUUUGGAGACGUCAAUUUGAAAUUUGAAAUGUAUGCUUUAUGUUCUUUCAUUUGAUAUGCGACACCUUACCAUCUGAGAAAUUUGAAUGUUUGCACUAAAUGACCCCACCCGUCCCCUGGGAUGAAGAGGGGGUUUAAAAUUUUCAUUUUAAGUAGAGUUUAUUAGACCUUCAAUUUGAUAUAUCAGAUGACCCCAUUUGACAAAGUGCAAAUAAUGAUGCAAUAUCAACUAUAUAAAUAGAAGUUAUGAAACUUACAAAGUCAAUGCAAAACUUGAAAAUUUCAAAUUAAAUUUUUGGCGUUUUUUCCAUGGAAUGUUUUUGGUAUUUGGGCAAAUAUAACUAUGUUAACCUCUUCAUUUCUAAACAUUUUAAGUGGUAAGCUCUUGUUGAUUCAGAAAUACAUGCCUCCGCUUCGCAAAACUUCAAACUGCAUUAUCUCUAAAACGACAAUAGAUAUCUCAAAUCUGUUAAAUGAUAAAUGAUCUACAGUUGAAAGACAACAUUAUAGAAAAAGAAUUGGACAAUUUCAAAAGUUCACCAAGGUCACAAUUAAUCAUCAAAUAUAUGAUGCAAUACAAAACUUAGAACCGGAAGUCGCAGAGACAUGGGACUACACCAAUCAACUCAAGACCACUUGACCUUUCAAUCACAAGGUCAAGGUCAUAGUAAAUGUGAAGGUCAAGGUGAAAUUUCAUCAUGACCUGACAUUGACCUCAAAUUGAAGGUCUUGAAUUACUGAUCAUCUUUGCACUUUAGUAGGUUGAUAUCUGUUACCUUUAAAAAGAUAUACACACAAUACUAUACUUUUAACAAUCAUCCCGUUGUAUCUUUUGAACAGACGGUCGGACAUUUUUGGGCUUAUUGUAUAAAAUGUAGAGCUCGUCGAGAGGAACAUUUUAUACGCUGUAUGUAUGCAGCAAAGUCUUAUCGUUUUCCUAAUAUGUAAGCUUGAAAUUGCAGCGUAAUUUUUUUUUGCACUCGGUGACCUUUGACCUUGGGUGCAUAUUAAAGGUCACAAGAAUUUAAGAUUAUUGGUGAAGGUUACCAAGUCUCUAUGACUUCCGGUUCUCGAUAUAAAUUUUUGAAAAAAAUUAUGUGAAUUUUAAAGGGAAAUAACUCCUUAUAAGGGUUAAAUAACAAAAUAAUUUAUGUUAUAAACAUUGCCAUUUGUUCUAUUACAUGCUGUUAUUUUCAAUUAAAUUCUAUCUCUAAUACUUUUUGCAAAAAAUGCAAAUAAAAGAAAUUGCUUCAAGGGGAUAUAACUCUCAAAGUAAUGAUGAAAAUCCUAUGCAGCUCAAUGGUAAUACAUCAUAAUUAGAUCUACCUAUUUGUCCAAAUAAGUCAUGAUAUCUUUUAACACAUUUUGGGGGGACCAUGUUGAAAAAAAUCAAUAAAAGGGAGAUAACUUCUUAAGGGGAAGGUGAAAUUCUACAAAAGUUCAUCUGGUAAAAGUUCAUGUUGAGGUCUAUCGAUGGUUUAAUUUGGUCUUGAUAACUCAACAUAGAAGCGGUAGGAGGGCGAGCCAAAAAAAUGCUGGAAGAAAAAGAAAAAAAAACAUUAGAAAAACAAUAAGGUCUUUCCCAUGUAGGGGAAAGACCUUAACAAUAAGGUCUUUCCUCGCGGAGAGGAAAGACCUUAAAAAAAACACUAGUAUCUCAAUUGUUUGUAAAACAAUUGAAAGGUCUUUCCUGUAAAAGUGAUGUUUUCGUAAUGUACCUUGUACGACCUUUCGUUUGAUAUACGACAAGCAUACCUUCUGAAACUUUCCACUUUUAACACUUAAUGACCUCAUCCGCCUACAUUUUUGAGAUCGGAAUUAUGAUAUAAAUAACAUAGAGUAGAUGAGCUUUCAUUUGAUAUGCAACAACUCUAUGUUCUAGAAAGUUUGAUUUUUGCACUUAAUAACCCUAUCCAACUAAUUUUUGGAGGUCGGGAUUUGAUAUUUCCAAUGUACACAUCAUGACCUUUCAUUUAAUAUACAACAACCCUAUCUUAAAAGAAAAUUUAUUUUUUGCACUCAAUGACCCCAUCCAACCCAUUUUUGGGAGACGUCAAUUUUAAAUUUGAAAUGUACGCUUUAUGUUCUUUCAUUUGAUAUGCGACAACCUUACCAUCUGAGAAAUUUGAAUGUUUGCACUAAAUGACCCCACCCGUCCUCCUGGGAUGAAAAGGGGGUUUAAAAUUUUCAUUUUUAAGUAGAGUACAUUUAGACCUUCAAUUUGAUAUAUCAGAUGACCCCAUUUGAUAAAGUGCAAAAAAUGAUGCAAUAUCAACUAUAUAAAUAGAAGUUAUGAAACUUACAAAGUCAAUGCAAAACUUGAAAAUUUCAAAUUGAAUUUUUGGCGUUUUUUUCCAUGGAAUGUUUUUGGUAUUUGGUCAAACAUAUAACUAUGUUAACCUCUUCAAUUUCUUAAACAUUUUAAGAGGUACGCUCUUGUUGAUUCAGAAAUACAUGCCUCCGCUCGCAAAACUUCAAACUGCAUUAUCUCUACAGCAACAAUAGAUAUCUCAAAUCUGUUAAAUGAUAAAUGAUCUACAGUUGAAGGACAACAUUAUAGAAAAAGAAUUGGGACAAUUUCAAAGUUCACCAAGGUCACAAUUAAUCAUCAAAUAUAUGAUGCAAUACCAAACUUAAGAACCGGAAGUCGUAGAGACACGGGACUAGCACCAUUCAACUCAGGAUCACUUGACCAUUCAAAUAUCACAAGGUCAAGGUCAUAGUAUACUGUGAAGGUCAAGGUGAAAUUUCAUCAUGACCUGACAUUGACCUCAAAUUGAAGGUCUUGAAUUACUGAUCAUCUUUGCAGUUUAUAGUAGGUUGAUAUCUGUUACCUUUAAAAAGAUAUACACAAAAUACUAUACUUUUAAGAAUCAUCCCGUUGUAACUUUUGAAUAGACGGUCGGACCUUUAUGGGCUUAUAAUAUAAAAU